CAGGAUUGUCAAUGCUGUCAUUGCUUUUACUGGAAUCCCCAGCACGAAUUGAAGGUUUGACCAGAGACAAAGAAGCAAAUGCUAUCAAUUAACAUUCACAUGUGGUAGGUCUCACUUUGCCACCUAGGCUGGAUGCAAUGCAACGGUAUGUUGAUCUUGGUUCACUGCAGCCUCAACCUCCUGAGCUCAUGUGAUCCUCCCACCUCAGUCCCCCACGUCGCUUGGAUUACAGGCCUGUGCCACCACACCUGGCUAACUUUUUUUGUAAUUUUUGUAGAGACAGGGUCUCACUAUGUUUCCCAUGCUGGUCUUUAAUGCCUGAGCUCAAGCCAUCCGCCUGCCUCGGCCUCCCAAAUUGCUGGGAUUACAGGCAUGAGCCACCAUGCCCAGCCUAAUUCUUCUAAAUCUUAUCCUAGUAAUUAAGCCAGAAUUUUUCUCUGCCAAGACCAAUA
rnacentral:lncRNA from 1 species